UAUAAAUGGUAUACAAUGAAACUGCGAAUGGCUCAUUAAAACAGUUAUAGUUUAUUUGGUAAUCAAACUUACAUGGAUAACCGUGGUAAUUCUAGAGCUAAUACAUGCUGUUGUGCCCGACUCACGAAGGGCCGUAUUUAUUAGAUAUCAGCCAAUAAGCAUCUGCUAUUGUGGUGACUCAUAGUAACUUAAUCGGAUCGCAUGGGCUUGUCCCGCGACAAACCAUUCAAGUUUCUGCCCCAUCAUGCUUUCGAUGGUAGUGUAUUGGACUACCAUGGCUUUCACGGGUAACGGAGGAUUAGGGUUCGAUUCCGGAGAGGGAGCCUGAGAAACGGCUACCACUUCCACGGAAGGCAGCAGGCGCGUAAAUUACCCAAUCCUGAUUCAGGGAGGUAGUGACAAGAAAUAAUGGGUCGGGGUUCUGCCCCGGGACUGCAAUGAGACGAAUUUAGACCCCUUAUCGAGGACCAAUUGGAGGGCAAGUCUGGUGCCAGCAGCCGCGGUAAUUCCAGCUCCAAUAGCGUAUAUUAAAGUUGUUGCAGUUAAAAAGCUCGUAGUUGGAUUUCUGGUAGUGGGCAAGAGCUCUCUGAUGAUGCUCGCGUUCAUUGCCAUCCUUCUGUUAACCUAUCAGGGCAUUCUAUUGUCAGUUAGGGGCUCAGAUAUUUUACCUUGAGAAAAUUAGAGUGUUUCAGGCAGGCUUGUGCCCGAAUACAUUAGCAUGGAAUAAUGGAAUAGGACUUUAGCCUCUUCUGUUGGUCUGAGGGGUUGAAGUAAUGAUU
rnacentral:rRNA from 1 species